rnacentral:rRNA from 1 species
UACGUAGGUGGCAAGCGUUGUCCGGAAUUAUUGGGCGUAAAGCGCGCGCAGGCGGUCCUUUAAGUCUGAUGUGAAAUCUUACGGCUCAACCGUAAGCGGUCAUUGGAAACUGGGGGACUUGAGUGCAGAAGAGGAAAGUGGAAUUCCACGUGUAGCGGUGAAAUGCGUAGAGAUGUGGAGGAACACCAGUGGCGAAGGCGGGUCUCUGGGCAACAACUGACGCUGAGGAGCGAAAGCGUGGGGAGCGAACAGG